GCGAGAAAACUUUGCAAUGUGCGAAAGCACGACAAGGUUAAUCCGAGUGGUUUCUGCUAAAGAAACCUUUUGUCAGUCCUAGAAACACUAACGAAUAAGGGGUGGGCAAGUUCUGGUGUCAGCCGCCGCGGUAAAACCAGCACCUCAAGUGGUCAGGAUGAUUAUUGGGCCUAAAGCAUCCGUAGCUCGUUUUGUAAGUUUUCGGUUAAAUCCAUGCGCUUAACGUAUGGGCUGCCGGGAAUACUGCAUAACUAGGAAGUGGGAGAGGUAGACGGUACUCGGUAGGAAGGGGUAAAAUCCUUUGAUCUAUUGAUGACCACCUGUGGCGAAGGCGGUCUACCAGAACACGUUCGACGGUGAGGGAUGAAAGCUGGGGGAGCAAACCGGAUUAGAUACCCCCGUAGUCCCUGAGCGGGCUGGCAAGGCGCAU
rnacentral:rRNA from 1 species